UAGGGAAUCUUCCGCAAUGGACGCAAGUCUGACGGAGCAACGCCGCGUGAGUGAAGAAGGAUUUCGGUUCGUAAAACUCUGUUGUUAGAGAAGAACAGCGCAUAGAGUAACUGUUAUGCGUGUGACGGUAUCUAACCAGAAAGCCACGGCUAACUACGUGCCAGCAGCCGCGGUAAUACGUAGGUGGCAAGCGUUGUCCGGAUUUAUUGGGCGUAAAGCGAGCGCAGGCGGUCAAUUAAGUCUGAUGUGAAAGCCCCCGGCUCAACCGGGGAGGGUCAUUGGAAACUGGUUGACUUGAGUGCAGAAGAGGAGAGUGGAAUUCCAUGUGUAGCGGUGAAAUGCGUAGAUAUAUGGAGGAACACCAGUGGCGAAGGCGACUUUCUGGUCAUCAUCUGACGCUGAGGUACGAAAGCGUGGGUAGCAAACAGG
rnacentral:rRNA from 1 species